UAAAGGCGUCUGGAAUUGCACAAUGUUGCAGAGCCAUGCGAGGCGCGACGGGCAGGCAGCUGGGGGGCUCCGUGUCACAAAGGCUGCCGGGGCAGCACGCGAGCCAGAGUCACGACAAGCUCGGGUCCCAGGCUCGCUGCUGCCUCAAAUCUCAUCCGGUCCCAAAGCCAGCUGCCCUGCGGAGAGGAGCCGACCGGCACCGGGCACAUCUCUGGGAGGGCGAGGCUGGGAGAAAGGCGUUGAGCUAAAGAUGAGAAGAAGCGUUCCCUGGAGCCUGCAUGGCAUCAAUCAUGAGAAUGGAUGUUGAGGGUUAUGCACCCCACUGAGGCAGCACUGAAUGCCAGAUCCCAAGUUACAGAGGACACCGAUGGGAGGAUGUGGUGGUGAUGGUGGAGGCAGAGCUGUGAAGAACUGAGAGGCUGUUAGAAAACCGCGGUGGAACAGUGGCUGGGGAAAGACCUUGGCUUAGGACAUGAAUCCAGUGACCUGAGGUCAGCAGUUUCUAUCUGAACCGAAGCCAGGUUGACCUGGGGCCUGGGCAGGAUUGUAUUUGCUGGGGCUGCUAUUAAAAAGUACUGUGAACUGAGUGGCUUAAACACCAGAAAUUAUUCUCUCACAGUUCUGGAGGACUAAAGUCCAAAAUCAAGCUGUGGGCAGGGUGGGUUUCCCUGAGAGCUGCGAGCGAAGGAUCUGUUCCAGGCCUCUCUCCUUGGCUGACGGGGUCUCGCUCUGUCACCCAGGUGGGAAUGCAGUGGCGCAAUCACAGCUCAUACACCUUAAACUCCUAGGCUCAAGCAAUCUUCCUGCCUCAGUCUCCUGAGUAGCUGAAACUACAGGCACAUGCCACUAUGCCUGUUUUGGUUUCUUUCUUUCUUUCUUUCUUUCUUUCUUUCUUUCUUUCUUUCUUUCUUUCAUUCUUUCUUUCUUUCUUUCUCCUUCCUUCCUCCCUCUCUUUCUUUUCUUUUCUUUCCUCCCUCCCUCCUUCCCUCUUUCUUUCUUUCUCUUUUUUUUUUUUUAUUUUUUGAGACGGAGACUUGCUCUAUUGCCCAGGCUGGAGUACAGUUGGGCAAUCUCAGCUCACUGCAAUCUCUGCCUCCUGGCUUCAAGCAGUUCUCCCUGUCUCAGCCUCCUGAGUAGCUGGGAUUACAGGCGCCCACGACCACGCCCGGCUAAUUUUCGUAUUUUUAGUAGGGGCAGGAUUUUGCCAUGUUGGCCAGGCUGGUCUCGAACUCCUGACCUCAGGUGACCCACCUGCCUUGGCCUCCCAAAGUGCUGGGAUUACGGGCAUGAGCCACUGCACCUUUUUAUUUUUCUUUUUAGAGACAGGGUCUUGCUGUGUUGCCUGGGCUGGUCUCAAACUCCUGGCCUCAGGCAAUCUUCCUGCCUUGACCUCCCAAAGCACUGAGAUUACAGAUAGGAGCCACUGUGCCCUGCCUAAACCAAUUUCUUUUUUUUCUUUUUGAGAUGGAGUCUCACUCUGUCAUCCAGGCUGGAGUGCAGUGGUGCGAUCUCGGCUCACUGCAACCUCUGCCUCCUGGAUUCAAGUGAUUCUCCUGUGUCAGCCUCCCAAGUAGCUGGGACUACAGGUGUGUGCCACCAUAUCCAGCUAGUUUUUUGUGUUUUUAGUAGAGAUGGGGUUUCACUAUGUUAGCCAGGAUAGUUUCGAUCUUCUGACCUUGUGAUCCACCCACCUUGGCCUCCCAAAGUGCUGGGAUUACAGGCGUGAGCCACUGUGCCCGGCCAACUGAUUUCUUAAUAGGAAGGCAUCCACCUAUGCCCUGAAGUGGAGAUUGGGUCCCCAGUCUUCCUUGAGCAAGAUAGGUCUCAAAUUUUUGAGUGUGUGGAAAUCUGCUGGGCUAUGUAUAUAGAUUUCUAGGCCUCAUCCUCAAAAGUCCUGAUUUAGUAGGUAUGGGGCUUGGGACUGGGGAAUCACCAUUUUUCACACAUGUACACAGGUGCACACAUGCACAUACACAUGCCAUGAUUUUAAAGCAGAAGAUAUUUGGGCCACAUUUCCAGAAAUAUUCCCUGCAGGGCUCAUUCCUCCAGCCUUAUGAUGAGUAUAUGCAAACAACCUGAGGUCAUGGAAAGCAUCUCCAGUGUUUUUCCCUUGGACUACAGGCAUAUUUAAUUAGCCAGUGCCCACACUGACCUUAUUUUAUUAUUAGCACAAGUGCAAUGGCUUACAUUUAGAGUGUACCUAUAUAAAGAAGUUAUAAUGACGCAGUGCUUCCCAAACUUGGCUGCAUAGUAGAUACACUUAGGGAAGUUUUCGAUGCUCUGCCCCUCUUCCAUCUCUCUGGCCCAUGCCCAAAUCCAAUUAGAAAAUGGGCAAAAGAUAUAAAGAGACAUUUUACUGAAGAGGAUAUACAGAUGGCAAAUAAACACAUGAAAAGAUGUUCAACAUCACUCAUUUUGAUGGAAAUGUAAACUAAACCACAAUGAAGUUCCACUACACACCUACAGAAUGGCUAAAAUAAAACAUAGUGACAAUAAAAAGUGUUGGCAAGAAUGUGGAGAAAUUGGAUCUCUCCUUGCUGGUGGAGAUGUAAAAUGGUACAGCCACUCUGGAAAAACGUUUGGCAGUUUCUUUAAAAACUAAGCAUAUACUUAACAUACGAUCCAACAGCGGCGCUUCUGGCAUUCAUGCCAGAGAAAUAAAAACUUAUGUUCCCACACAAAAACUUUUCAUAAAUUUUUGAGACAGAGUCUUGCUCUGUCACCCAGACUUGAGUGCAGUGGUGUGACUGUGGCUCACUGCAGCCUUGACCUCCUGGGCUCAAGCGAUCCUCCCACCUCAGCCUCCUGAGUAGCUGGGACUACAGGUAUAUCCCACCAUGCCCGGCUAACUUUUUUUUUUUUCCGGCAGAGAUGGGGUUUUGCUAUGGUUGCCCAGGCAGGUCACACAAAAACUUUUAUACAAAUGUUCAUGGCAGCUUUAUUUGUAAUAUCCCCAAGGUGUAGUACAUCUAUACCAGCAAUAAAAAGGAAUGAACUGUUGAUUCAUACAACCUAGAUGGAUCUCAGGUGCAUUAUGCUGAGUGAAAAAGCCAAUCUCAAAAGGGUACACACUGUAUGAUUCCAUUUAUUUAUUCAUUUAGAGACAGAGUCUCACUCUGUCGCCCAAGCUGAAGUGCAGUGGUGCAGUCUUGGCUCACUGCAACCUCCACCUCCUGGAUUCGCGUGAUUUUCGUGCCUCAGCCCCCUGAGUAGCUGGGACUACAGACGCGCGCCACCACACCUGGCUAAUUUUGGGGUAUUUUUAGUGGAGAUGGGGUUUCGACAUGCUGGCCAGGCUGGUCUCAAACUCCUGACCUCAAGUGAUCCACCCGUCUCGGCCUCCCAAAGUGCUAGAAUUACAUACAUGAGCUACCACGCCUAGCCGAUUCCAUUUAUUUAACAGUCUUGAAAUGACAAAAUUAUCGGGAUUAGUGUUUGUCAGGAGUUAGGGAUAGUAGAGAGAAGGCAGGUAAGUGAUACCAUAAAGGCAUAUCUUUGUGAUGAAGGAAUAGUUCUGUAUCAUAAUUGCAAUGCUGAUUAGACAAACCUACACACGUGAUAAAGUGACAGAGAACUAUACACACAUUUUACCAAAGUCAAUUUCAUGGUGUGAGAUGUAACCAUUAGGAAAAUCUUGUGGAUUAUAAUAAUUAUUAUUUUUUUUAAAAAAGGAAAAGAUCCUGAUGUCCAGGCCACUCCCAGACCAAUGAAAUCAGAGUCUCUGAGGGUGGAGUCCACGCAUCAGCGCGUGGCCCUGGUGAUGACUAAGUGCAGCCAAGUUGCGGUUUAUUAUAAGGCAGUUCAUAGAUGCUGCUGCUGCUGCUGCUGCUAGCAUUUCAUCUGCUGAGAAUCACACUCAGUAGCAACAGCCAUCCAAGAUACAGCCCUGCGGGGCUUUGAGUGUUAACGUUGGGUGCAUAGUGAUGAGGCUUUUUUAAAGCCUUGAAACGGGGCCAACUGGUAAUACCUAAGGAACCUCUUCUACCAGAGGCAAGCAUUUUCACCAGCCAUUUUGAAUUUGAUGUGCUCAGCACUUUGAGGUAGCUGGCUCCUGGGCAUAAGUCAGAUUCUGACUCACUGGCUGGAUCACCAUCCUCAGGACCCCUUGCAGGGACAGAGUCUCACACUGUCACCCAGGCUGGAGUGCAAUGACACAAUCUUGGCUCACUACAACCUCUGCCUCCCAGGUUCAAGCGAUUCUCCUGCCUCAGCCUCCCGUCUUCAAAUAUUUUUGUACCCUUAUCUUAUUUUUUCAGGAACUCCUGAAAAAACUCCAGUUUUUCAGUUUCACAAAUAUUAGCCCAAGUGAAAUUGGCCCACAGCUCACUGAUCCUCUGUUCAUUAAAAAAAAAAAAAAAAAAAGUCUCUGUGAUGGUUGAUUUUGGGUAUCAACUUGCCUGGAUUAAGUUACACUUAGGUACCUGGGAAAGCAUUGUUUAUUCUCAGUGCUUCAGUGGGCACUGAGCACAUCCCUUUUCUGCUGAAAGGGAAACCCAGAUGGCUUGCCAUUUGAUUGGAAUGAUUGGGCUCCCCCAGGAAUGUUUGAGAGGGUGUUUCCAGAUGCCAUUGGCAUAUGAGUUGGUGGACUGAGUGGGGAAGAUCUAGCUUCAAUGUGGAUGGACAUCAUCCAAUCAGCUGGGGGCCUGAAUUGAACAAAAGGAUGGAGUAAGAGUGAAUUUUUGUUCUCUCUUAUGGAGUGGGGAUGUGCCUUUGGACAUCAUAACUCUAGAUUCUCUGGCUAUUGGACGAUAGGACUUGUAUGACAGCCCCCUGGGCUCUCAGGCCUUCAGCCUCAGUCUCAGAGUUCUCACCAUUAGCCUCCUUGGUUCUGAGGCCUUUGGACUUGGACUGAGUCAUACUAUGGUUUCCUUGCUUCUCCAGCUUGCAGACAGGCUGUUGUGGGACUUCUCAACCUCAAUCAAGUGAGCCAAUUCUCAUGAUCAGUCCUUUCUCAUGUAUCUAUGUAUAUGUAUUCUAUCAGUUCUGUCUGGGUAACCAUGACUAAAUCAGUUUCCUUUCUCUCUUUGCUUCAUUUUGGACAGCUUCUAUGUCUAUGUCUCCAAGGUCACUAAUCUCUUCUACAAUGUCUAAUCUGUCAAUAAUACCAUUAAGCGUACUUUACAGCUCACACAUUGUACUCCUCAUCUCUAGAAGUUUGAUUUGAAUCUUUUUUUAUAUCUCUCAUGUAUCUAUUAGUUAUAAUUAUUUUAAUAUCCUUGUUUGCCAAUUCUAACCUUAAUGUCAGUUGUGAGUCAGUUUCAACUGAUUGAUUUUUAUUCUUACUAUGAGUCACAUUCUUCUGCUUCUUUGCAUGCCCAGUAAUUUUUUAUUAGAUUUCAGACUGUCUUAGUCAGUUUGUGCUGCUAUAACAAAUUACCAUAAACUAGGUGGCUUGUGAACAAAUAUUUAUUUCUCAUAGUUCUGGAAACUGAAAUUCUGAAAUCAGGAUGUCAGCACAGUUGGCUCUGGUGAGGGUCCUCUUCUGGGUUGCAUAUUGCCAACAUCACAUGGCAAAGAGAGAAAAAGCCAGCUCUCACAUUAUUUUUUAUAAGAGCACUAAUCCCAUCCAUGAGGGGUCCACUUUUAGGACCUAAUUUUCUCCCAAAGGCCCCACCUCCAAAUAUCAUCAUAUUGGGAGUUAGAAUUUCAACACAUAAAUUUAGAGGGGGACACAAACAUUCAGUUCAUAACACAAACAUUGUACAUUUUAUCUUGUUGAGCAUUGGAUAUUUUGGAAUUCCUAUAAAUAUUACUGAGCUUUGUUCUGGGAUGCAAAGAAGUUACUUGAAAACAAAUCGAUUCUUUCAGAUCUUACUUUUUCAAAUUCGUUAGGUGGGUCUGGAGCAGGGGUCUGGGUUUGCUCAGUCCGGGACUAAUUCUUCCCUACUCCUCAGCCAAAGUCUUUUGUACUCUACCAAUGUCCUGUGAAUCAUGGGGCUUGCUUUCUGGCUGGUGGAAACCGACAUUGUUAUUGGAUCUGUUUGAACACUGGACACUGUUACCUCUCAUUAUGAGUAGUUUUUUCCCCAGCCUCAGGUAGUUGCUUCACAUAUAUACAUUGAUGAGUACUCAGCUGAAUGUUGUGGUGGGGGGGAUCUGCAUUAGUCCAUUUUCACACUGCUAUAAAGAACUACUUGAGACUGGGUAAUUUAUUAAAGGAAAGAGGUUUGAUUGACUCACAGUUCUUCGUGGCUGAGGAGGCCUCAGAAAACUUACAAUCAUGGUGGAAAAGGAAGGAUAAGUAAGUACUUUCUUCACACGGUGGCAGGAGAGAAAGACUGUGAAGGGGGAAGUGCCACUUUUAAACCAUCAGAUCUCAUGAGAACUCGCUAUCACGAGAACAGCAUGGGGGAAACUGCCCCCGUGAUCCAAUCACCUCCUACCAGGUCCCUCCCUCUAUAUAUAUACAGAGAGAGUAAGCUAAACAAAAGCAUGAAAAACAAAGAACAAGGCAGAAUUCAGCAUGUGUUUGUGUGUAUAGAACCUUCAUACGUACCUUGCUUAUUUCGUUACAACAGAUAGGAAUAAAUUUAAACUAAUUGAGGCAUCUCCUGAUCCCACAUCUAGUUUGAGUUAUCCAAACAAGAAGAGGAAAAUUUGUUUUGGGUAAGGUUUUACAUUUUCUUUGCCUCAAUAUUCUUAUCUACUUUGAAAUGUUUUAUUGUAAACAUUUUAGUCUGUUUUUAAUAAGUUUUAACAAUCAAUCUAAAACUCAUUAUUUGCUUUAAAAAUAUGCAACUGAAGACAAAUCACCUGUAUAUCACUCUGUCUCCAGGAUACUUUUGCGUAUAUUGGGGCCAGCAGUGUCCAUGAAAUAGGCAGAAUUUCAGGGAAAGGAGGAUUUGUACCUUUAUACUUUGCCCAUCUGUGACUGAUACACAACGUGUCCAUUUACUGAAUCUCUGCUAGGUAGGUACUGAGAAUUCAACUAAUAGCAACAAUAAUAACUAACACAUGAUACUAGGUGGUGGGUACCAGUCUAAGUACUUUCAAUAUAUUAAUACUUUUAAUAAUCAUUACAUCCUAUUAGGUAGGUACUGUUAAUUAUCUCCUGUUUACAGAGGAGGAAACAGAGGCACAGUUAGCACUACUAAGUGACAAAAUCUGGAUUUUUACCCAGGCAUCUUGGCUGCAGAGUCCUACCUUGACUAUGCUAUACUGCCUUUCAGAUGGAAAGGUAAAUAAGGUACCAUUUCUGUCCUUGAAGUGCCCUGGUCCAGUAGGGGAAACAGAUGCAGUUAUUCAUUCAUUUGUUCCUUCCUUUCUUCCUUCAAUGUUCAUUAAGCACCUGCUCCAUGUCAAGAGCUUGGUAUAUCCCUAGCCCCCAUGGAACUUACAGACAUACAAGCUGUCAUAAAAUGUGGCAAAUGCAAGAUGGAGACAUGUACAGAGUAUUUAUUAUGGGACCUCCAACUAGUAGCAAUUAAUGUAGUCUUGGG